GAUGAACGCUGGCGGCGUGCCUAAUACAUGCAAGUCGAGCGAAUGGAUUAAGAGCUUGCUCUUAUGAAGUUAGCGGCGGACGGGUGAGUAACACGUGGGUAACCUGCCCAUAAGACUGGGAUAACUCCGGGAAACCGGGGCUAAUACCGGAUAACAUUUUGAACCGCAUGGUUCGAAAUUGAAAGGCGGCUUCGGCUGUCACUUAUGGAUGGACCCGCGUCGCAUUAGCUAGUUGGUGAGGUAACGGCGCACCAAGGCAACGAUGCGUAGCCGACCUGAGAGGGUGAUCGGCCACACUUGGACUGAGACACGGCCCAGACUCCUACGGGAGGCAGCAGUAGGGAAGCUUCCGCAAUGGACGAAAGUCUGACGGAGCAACGCCGCGUGAGUGAUGAAGGCUUUCGGGUCGUAAAACUCUGUUGUUAGGGAAGAACAAGUGCUAGUUGAAUAAGCUGGCACCUUGACGGUACCUAACCAGAAAGCCACGGCUAACUACGUGCCAGCCGCCGCAGUAA
rnacentral:rRNA from 1 species